AUUGAACGCUGGCGGCAGGCCUAACACAUGCAAGUCGAGCGAGCGGCGGACGGGUGAGUACUGUAUGGGGACUGCCCGAUCGAGGGGGAUAACUCCUGGUAACGGUGUCUAAUACCGCAUACUCUCGCAUAACCCAUAUGCGAUUAUCUCGUAGGUAGGGUAAUGGCUUACCUAGGCGACGAUCCCUAGCUGGUCUGAGAGGAUGAUCAGCCACACUGGGACUGAGACACGGCCAAGAAUCCUACGGAGGCAGAAGUGGGGAAUAUUGCACAAGGGGCGCAAGCCUGAUGCAGAAAGGCCGCGUGUAUGAAGAAGGCCCUAGGGUUGUAAAGUACUUGCAGUGGGGAGGCGUGAGGGAGAGAAGAAGCACCGGCUAACUCCGUGCCAGCAGCCGCGGUAAUAG
rnacentral:rRNA from 1 species